GACGAACGCUGGCGGCGUGCCUAAUACAUGCAAGUAGAACGCUGAAGGAGGAGCUUGCUUCUCUGGAUGAGUUGCGAACGGGUGAGUAACGCGUAGGUAACCUGCCUGGUAGCGGGGGAUAACUAUUGGAAACGAUAGCUAAUACCGCAUAAGAGUAGAUGUUGCAUGACAUUUGCUUAAAAGGUGCAAUUGCAUCACUACCAGAUGGACCUGCGUUGUAUUAGCUAGUUGGUGGGGUAACGGCUCACCAAGGCGACGAUACAUAGCCGACCUGAGAGGGGGAUCGGCCAAGCUGGGACUGGGGCACGGCCCAGAAUCCUACGGGGGGCAGCAGGAGGGAAUCUUCGGCAAAGGACGGAAGUCUGACCGAGGAACGCCGCGGGAGUGAAGAAGGUUUUCGGAUCGUAAAGCUCUGUUGUAAGAGAAGAACGAGUGUGAGAGUGGAAAGUGCACACUGUGACGGUAUCUUACCAGAAAGGGACGGCUAACUACGUG
rnacentral:rRNA from 1 species